rnacentral:lncRNA from 1 species
CACUCACCAAACAGAGUCCCUCCUGGCCCGGUGGUGUGUGCUGUUGUGCACGUAGGCCUGCAUGCCUCAUAUCUGUGCCCAGCAAUUACAUCCCAAGCACCCUGCCCCAUUCCAAGGCAGCCGGAGCCAGCUGGGACACUGUGCCCGGGGUGGGAGCCAGGUAGUUUUCCUCCUUUCAUCCUUUUUGAUUCCAUAAGCAUUUUCUUCUAAGCUUGGGCUCUCACAGCAGUGUCGGACAUGGGAAAACAAACCCAGAAGGCAGGAACUGAGCUGCAUCUGCUCGUAGUGCUGCCUUUUGCUGUUCUGAAAUGGAGCCAAAAGGCACAGCCUCUGCCCUCCAGAACAGGAAGCCUGCAAGCAGCGUGUGCUUUCUGCAGCACUGCCUGCUCGCUUCUUCCACCCCCAACCCAGUCCGUCCACCUGCCUGACCAAGAGUGUGUGAUGUGCCCGACCUGCAGAUGGUAAGUGUCCCUGGCAACCAAAAUCUCUCAAACCAUUCCAACCCUGCCACCCUUCGAGUCCCAGCAUCACUGAGGUCCUUUCAGUGAAGAAUUGGCUAACAUUUUAGAUGUCUCUGAAUGCAAAUUUUUAUUCACAUUUAAUAAGGUGGUUUUGUGUGUUAAUGGAAAAUGAAAUAAACAUCAACAAUCACAUUAUUCACAUGUGUCCACAGCUGCUCGAGUCUUGCCCCUCCUGCAUGGUUGUUAAUCCUUGAUGUAACGAGGAGAGUAAUGGAGAAAGAGAGAUGUCAUAUUCUGUCUCUCUUGGUGUGAUUCUGUGAAGACCCACAAUGUGUCAGUAAGAGGGGCAUGGCGUAUAUCUAAGGCUUUAGAAUAAGGCUGUCUCUGCUGUCUUAUUCACAGUGGAAUUCUUGGUGAGAGGGAGCAAAGACCCCAACAAAGUUUAAUUACUUGCACUGUGACAAGUAGAGGUCAUCUGCAGUCAGGUCGAUUGGAAAGAAGACCCUGUAUGAAGGUAAAGAUGUAUUAAGAUGCAACAAUAUGAAUGUGGGACAGGAACUCAGUGUUGAAAUAAUCAAGAUGAAAUAUAAUGGAACGUUUGCCCCCUAAACUCUACCUCAGUUGCUAAGAAUAAUGUUAUGGCUUUUUCUUUUUUUUCUUUUCUUUCUUUUUUUUUUUUCUCUUUUUAGGGCCGCACCCAAGGCAUGUGGAAGUUCCCAGGCUACAUCCACAUCCACAGCAUAUGGAAGUUCCUAGGUUAGUGGUUGAAUCAGAGCUGCAGCUGCCAGCCUAUACCACAGCCACUGUAGUACGGGAUCCGAGCUGUGUCUGUGACCUACACUGCAGCUCAUAGCAAUGCUGGAUCCUUAACCCACUGAAUGAGGCCAGGGAUUGAACCUGCGUCCUCAUGAAUACUAGUCAGGUUCGUUGCUGCUGAGCCACAAUAGGAACUCCCUUAUGGCUUUUUCUUAAUUGUAGAAGUAAAACCAUAAAUCCUCAUUGUAUGAUAUGAGGAUUAUAUCUCAACACAACUGCUUAAAAAAAAUAGUAACAAGAACAUUAUAGCAGAGACAGGUAAACAGUGAGAAUAAAGUAAAAAUCACCGGUAACCCUAUUGCCC